GGGCCCGUGGCCAAGUCAGGAAAAGGCACCGGCCUUCUAAGCCGGAGAUCGAGGGUUCAAAUCCCCCCGGGCCCGCCA
rnacentral:tRNA from 1 species